AAGAAAUGUUUACAGUGUGCGAAUAGCAGAGGAUGUUGUCACAGUAUCGUGAGUUUUUAGCUGCUAUUUAAUCAGAUUUAUUUAAAAACUUCCAUGUUAUAAUUUCUUUGAAAUGCUGUGACUGGGAUUGCUUAUGUCAAAAACAACAGUAAUUCCUCUUCCUCUACACAUUUUUUUUUAAAUUUAUCAAUUAUAAAAGACCUAACAUGUAAAUCUUAUAAAGUUUGUGAGUUUUUCCUUGUACAAAUCAUACAUGUAGGACAUAUAAAUACAAGUUUCUUAUUUCAAAAGCUAUUUAUAGCUCAAAUGUCCCUUAUUGAAGGUGAGCUUACAUCAACAAGAAAACUUUUACACAUUUCUAGUAUGAUGUAAACUUUUAAAGAGGUAUGCAUUAUUAUGGUUCUGACCAAAAUCUUGCAGUUCAUUAUCAUGGAAAGAAUCAGGAUAAAGUUUUGGUUUAAGGUAUUAAGCAGUGAAGUUUUUCUUUAAAUGUGAAUUUAGGAAACUUAAAAACUUAAUAUAAAUGCCAAAUAGCAGUUUUUACUCAGAUUUUGCAAUUUACUGAAAAUGGAAAUUUGUUAUUAGUGUAAUUUUGUUUUCUUUAACUUAAACUUUACUAUUAGACUAAAUUGAAAAUAGAGAAUUUUUGUUACUCAUCAUCUCUGCUUAACUAAUACAUGUCCAUCAGAAUUUAUCUUCAGCACCACACAAUUUUACAUGAUACUUGUAAGUUAAUUGAAUAACACUUGACAAAUUUGCUUGUCUAGAAUUCUUUUUUGCCCAUACUGAACUUUUUCUUGUAUUUUCAGAAGUCCAGUAAGCAGCAACACUGGUACCUUAUCUGGGUAAGAAAAUAAAUCACUGAUAAUAAAAAAAUUAUAGAUUUCACCAAUGCAACAAAGUGUGUUACGAUAUUUCUCUACUCAAGAGAGUUUAAUUAUAAGAUUUAAAGCGUGAGGCUUUUAGAGCUUUUAAAAUAAUUAAAAUUCAGCGGUUGAGAGUUGAGAAAUAUGGUAAUACACAAGUUAUCGUGGUAAAAUCUGACUCUCUAAUGAUUUUUAUCUCUUUUUAAAGUUUUGCAGAAAGUUGUGUUCUUUAUAUGUGACAUCAUCAGGCAUGUUUACCUUUAUUCAUGGCGUCAUAAUUCGAAAUUCUUCAGAAACACAAGACAAUUUGACGUCAUAAUUGAAUUUUGACCAAUAAUUUGCCAAGAACAGAUAUUUCACCGAUCAAGAAACGUGAAAAUAGCACAAAAAUUACAGAAAUCAAGUACUGGAUAAAAAAAAAAUUACACAUUAAAUGUUUUUAGAUUUUUUCUCCUGCAAAUUUCUUUCAACGUUUGUAAAUAAAUUCUUAAACAAGUUAAAAUUGCUUCUGCAUUAAAAAGAAUAAUUUUUGUCACUGUAGUUUUUUUGAUAAGUAACAAAAAAUAAUAAGAUGUACGCAACUGUAUAUCAUCAUAACCCAAUGAAAGUAGAAAAUAUAGAAAUAUUGUUGCAUGUACUUUUCCAUCUGGUGUAGAAGUGUCUGUUUAGCUGUGAAAAAUGUGUAUAGACACUGUCACAUUCAGCCAGAUAAGUCAAAGUCAAGGUUUUAUUGAUAUAAAAUCCAAAAUCUGGAUUGUCUUCAACACACGAACAUAGAACAAACAUUAAUCAUUACAAUCAAUUUAUUAUCAAUACAGAACAUUAAAAAAAUAUGUAAAUAUAAUAUAACGAGAUAUUUAUAAAAAAAAAAAUCCUUCUACAUGUAUCUAUUUGACUGAGGAGGUACAGUUUUAGAUACUAAUAAUACAAUUUAUAUAAUAUAUAAUAAAAUAACUUAAGUCAGAUAUGGAAUGUUAGAUCUGAGGGAAUUAGUUGGGAGAAUGUCAUUCUCUUCUUGUUUAAGGAGCUAAGGGGGGUAACUUCCUAUUAAUGGGUAUACAGGGAUGUGCCCAAAAUAUGGGUCAUAAUUUUGCGAUUAUUUAUAUAAGAAUGACCCUCUUUUUAAUGAACAUUCCUAUAUUAAAUGCAAUUUACGUUUGAUAACUGUAUAUUGAUUUGGGGUAUGAUCAAUUCAUAUAUAAAAAAUUAAGGGUAGCUGUAUAUUUAAGAAUUAUGAGUGAUGAUGAGUAGUGCUUAUAUAAGCAUGGGUCAUAUUUUAAAAUAUUGUUUAUAUAAGUAUCGGUAUUCUUUCUUAAAUAUUUAUAUAACUAAGUUAUUGAGAUUUCAGUGAAAUGUUAUAUUAAAUGGGUACAUUUUUUUUUAGCAAAAAUGGACACCACCCUACCAAAAUUAUCGGAAGUUACCCAAGUUAAGAAGAAUGUAAUAUUUCAGAAAUAAUCUGUUUUAUUAGUGUGAAUAGUCUCAAAAUAUCAUAACAUCAUAUAUAGUAAUCAUUUGCUCUGUUUAGAUUUUCAAAGGCAAUUUUUGCCAAUCUUCUGUCUGCAAACCAGCCUAUGUGGUAAGCCCAUUUGGACCUGCAAGGUAGAUGAUUUGAGGUUUAUAGGAUUUCCUUAUGCUGUUGGACCAAUCUACCAAAACAACAGACAUCUGGCAAAAUUCCACCAGAUUGGCUCUUUUAAAAU
rnacentral:lncRNA from 1 species